rnacentral:lncRNA from 1 species
UCACCAAAUUGAAGACCGGUCACUAAAGCAUAAUCCCUCCUCGAUAAAUAAACCUUAGUAUUAUUCAAUUUAAAACAGAGAUCAUUAUUAUCUGAUUUUAUUUGGCGGGAUACCACAUGAUGCACGGCCAUUGCACAUUUCGGACCAGGAUUCCAAUCCAAAAAAUGUCCAAAACAACCCCCUAUAAAUCUAUCUAAUAACUGUUGACCACCUUUUUUCUUCAAAACAGAUUCUACCUUGCUAAGAUACUUUAUUUUAUAAUAUGUGCCAACGUCCCACGUUGAAUUAAUUGUGUCCUCUCUCAAAAAAACAGGAUGACCCUGUAACAACAGGUAAAUAAUUAUUAAAAUUCAACCAAAACAAUGCAAAUAUCAAACAAUGAGUCCAACUAUGCGCAUGUAAUUUGCAUACUAUGAGUCCAUCUAUGCGCAAAUUAUAUACUACUUUGCGCACAAAAUCUUUUAGCGCAUACUAACAAUUCCAAAAUAUAUUUUCUUUCACAAUAAACAAACAAAUAUAGACGUAACACUAAAUUGAUAACAAUAGGGGCCAAGAAUUAGGGCAACUUUCAUUUAGGGCGAAAAUUAGGGGGGCAAAAUUUUUUUCAAAAUUUCGAAAAAAUAAUACCAAAUUAGGGGGGCAAAAUUUUUUCAAGAUUGGGCGAGCGAAAAACCUCUAAAUCAGGUAACAACACCAAAGCAUAAAAAUUGGAAUUUCAAUCUUAAAUAAUCUAAGUUACAUAAGAAAAUAAAUUGAGCACCAACAAACAUAUACUCCAAACAAAAUAGGAUAAAUAUUAAAAAAAAUUGCAGAAAAACCAAACCUCAUUCGGUUGGUCCAUCUUCUCCGGCGCCGGCGGCCAAUUUACGGUGAAAAUAAAUAAAGCUUCGGUCGAGAGAGGGAGAGGGAGAAUUUCCGCAGAGAGAGAGAGAUUUGUUCCGCAGAGAGAGAGAGAAUUUCCGCAGAGAGAGAAUUGGGGUGGGGCGCAUCAAUUUUUUUAAAAAAAAGGGUUGGAGAUUUGUUCCGCAUCAAUUUCCGCAGAGAGAGAGAGGAAAUUUCCGCAUUCUACCUAGAAUUGGGGAGGGCAUACGCAUAAUUGGGGAGGAGGAAAUUUCCGCAUUCUACCUAGAAUUGGGGAGGGCAUACGCAUAAUUGGGGAGGGGGAAAUUUCCGCAUUCUAUGUAUUUGGUACAUCCCAAUUCUCGAAUUGCCAUAUUAGGUAAAAUUAGUAAA